UUAUCAUAAUAAUUAUUUAUGCUAGAAUGUUAGGUACGUCAUUUGCGACAGAACCUACUGGUCGAUUUAUGAAUCGAUUAAAUAGAUCAGUGCAAUAUCGCAUGCAAGUAAAGUGCAUUGUAAGUUGCAUGCCACCAAGGUGGCGUUCUUUUAUUACGUGACGCGGGCACAGGAACAAAGUUUGGUCACCAAACAAUAAUAACAACAAAGGACGGACAGUCGGCAACAGCGGUGCAAGUUUUCGGUCGUUGUUAUUCAUGCUCAAGUUUAAUGAAAUCGAAACGAUGGAAUAAUGCUGCAACGGGGACGGAAAGAGCGGAACUUUUUGUGCAGGAGCUGCGCUUGCUGCCGAGCCACUUGACGAUGGUGCGCCCUGCAGGAGAUGAUCAGAUGGUGCUGCCGUACCUGGUCCCGGAAAGAGGAAAAUAGUGCUAGAAGGAGCGUGUACGGUUGGUGCCAGUUUUGGACUUCACGAGCCUCCUUCACUAGAGAUUUAAAAAAUCGUGCAGCAGAUAUUUUACAGGUUAAACGCUGAACUUUUGAGCGUAACUGGACCGGCCAAGUCAUUCUGCUUAUUUGUAACGAACCUACGCUGGCAGUUCCGGAUUAAGUUUGGUAUUGAACGAAUCGUUCUGUAUCGGACUGUGCAACCAGGAGUAGGCGCAAGAGCUGGCGCUUAACGAACAUUGCCGAGUGACGGAUUAAGCGCACCACAAAUUUGCUUUUCGUUCGGGAUCAGUCAAUUCCGCAUUCCGCGCCAACCUUACAAUUUUAGUCGUGCAAGCUCGGGCUGUCCACGGCACUCUCGAUCGUCGGCUUUAACCCAGUGACCAACGCACGAGACUCCAGCACGGCCACUGAACACGUAGGCGACGUUUGGUUCGGUAGGUGUUAUUCCUCCACGUGAUGCUCCAGAAAUGUUCAUGACAAAAUACCGCUUUGAUUCCAAGGUGGCGUUGAUGUGGGCCUAAGGGCCUAAGUUAACAGUGCCUGUUUCGGAAGUGGGACAGCGUUUCUCGCGUGACCCGCUUUACUUUCCAUAAGUCACCGCCGACAAUAGCAACUGCGAGGGCUCGUUGGCAAAUACUACCCGUACCGGCAGUAACCACCGCUUCCUUUUUGCUAGUAAAAGGACGAUCUUUGCUUGACGAAAGUCAUCUAGCGUCAUCACGAAGUAAUCGUCGUAAAAAUGGCGACCGGCCCAGCGGCCUUCGUCAAUCACUUCCGUUCCGCUUGCUGCAGCUGAUUAUUCAGAAGUUUAGGACUCAAUAAAGCUGGAACAUUUAUUAAUGUGAAAUAUGUAAAG